AAAAGCAGGGGUGCUGGCGCAAGCCGGCUGAGAGUAAGACUGUCAUGGUCUUUAACCCGUAUACCUGAUCUGGAUAAUGCCAGCGUAGGAAAGCAGAUA
rnacentral:ncRNA from 1 species